AGAACGAACGCUGGCGGCGUGGAUAAGACAUGCAAGUCGAACGGGAUAUUGGUAGCAAUACCGAUGUCUAGUGGCGUAAGGGUGCGUAACACGUGGGUAACCUGCCGAGAAGUGGGGGAUAGCUCGCCGAAAGGCGAAUUAAUACCGCAUAGUACAUUUGUUAAAGCCGGGGCAACCUGGCGCUUCUUGAGGGGCCCGCGGCCUAUCAGCUAGUUGGUGAGGUAUCGGCUUACCAAGGCUAUGACGGGUAGCUGGUCUGAGAGGACGACCAGCCACACUGGAACUGAGACACGGUCCAGACACCUACGGGUGGCAGCAGUCGAGAAUUUUUCUCAAUGGGGGAAACCCUGAAGGAGCGACGCCGCGUGGAGGAUGAAGGUCUUCGGAUUGUAAACCCCUGUCAUUGAAGAACAAAGUACGUAAGUUAACUGCUUAUGUGCCGAUAGUAUUCGAAGAGGAAGGGACGGCUAACUCUGCGCCAGCAGCCGCGGU
rnacentral:rRNA from 1 species